rnacentral:rRNA from 1 species
AACGAACGCUGGCAGCAUGCCUAACACAUGCAAGUCGAACGAAGCCUUCGGGCUUAGUGGCGCACGGGUGCGUAACGCGUGGGAAUCUGCCCUUGGGUUCGGAAUAACAGUUAGAAAUGACUGCUAAUACGGUUGAUGUUUUCGGACCAAAGAUUUAUCGCCCAAGGAUGAGCCCGCGUAGGAUUAGGUAGUUGGUGGGGUAAUGGCCCACCAAGCCGACGAUCCUUAGCUGGUCUGAGAGGAUGAUCAGCCACACUGGGACUGAGACACGGCCCAGACUCCUACGGGAGGCAGCAGUGGGGAAUAUUGGACAAUGGGCGAAAGCCUGAUCCAGCAAUGCCGCGUGAGUGAUGAAGGCCUUAGGGUUGUAAAGCUCUUUUACCAGGGAUGAUAAUGACAGUACCUGGAGAAUAAGCUCCGGCUAACUCCGUGCCAGCAGCCGCAGUAA